CAUGCAAGUUUGUCAUCUCUCACAAUUAUAAGAAGGGUUUGGACUAAAUCAUUCUCGCGCCUUUUCGUUUUUGGUAUUUUGAUUCACCUGCUUCUUAUUUUUUCGAUAAAUUCACCCUUAGUUCUAUAACCGCUGUAUUUUUUUGGUAAAAUAAAAAGAGAAAACAUUGUAUUUUCAUUCAACCUUAAUAUUGUGGAUAGACUAACCCUUUCCCUUCUCUCCUUCGAAACGCUCUGCUCUCCGGCGAUCUCGUUCCAUCUGCUCAUCAUCGCUCCAUAUGCUCAUCAUCGCUCCAUAUGCUCAUCAUCGCCGUCGAUUUACUUACUCGUGUCACCAUCGAUUCGUCUACUCGCAUCACCGUCACUCCGUUUGCUCUUCGUCAGCUGCUUCGUCUGCUCUCUGUCACUGUCGAAGUGCCCGGCCAUUCUAGCUCCAAAAUCUCCAACGCAGAGUGUUUCUUUGCAUUUCGUUCUCUAAAACCUUGGAUAUACAUGAGAGGAGAACUUCUGCAUGUUUUUUCUGGCCAGAAUCUGAGACCCUUUUGGCAUGUGCUGCUUCCUUUUCCUAUGCUAUAGUUUCAGGUGAUGUUGGAUCAUUCAAAGUGUUGUUUGCAAAAUCUAUGUAAUUCAGUUUGCAAGAUAGUUUUCUUUGUGUAACGCAAGUGGUGCAAUCAUGCAAUUCCCUUAUAUUUCUAAUUCCUUUGUUUUUCUUGGUAGAUCUAACCUGCUACGUUUGCCCAUGUCUAGCAAUUAUGAGUUGCAAAGCUGGUUCACAUAUUCCAUGCCUCUUUUAUUUCUAUGUACAACUGGAUUUUGGGUAUCCGUUAUUGCAGCAUUAAGUUUAGAUUGCUUCAUUUACAAAUUGCUGGAAUUGCAUGCUAUGGUGCUAGCUUUAUUGAAUGAAGGGUUAUCAUUUUUUGAUGCAAUUCUUAUUUUUCCUAUGUUUUAGAUUGCUUGGACAUUCAUUUCCAUUUGUACAAGAUUUGUAUAGUUUUAAGAAUUCCAGGAUUUGUAUAUAUUCACAUUCAGCCUCUAAAUGUACCUUCAAAAUUUAUCAAUCAAUGAAUUAUUAUUUCUUAA